UACGUGGGGUGCAAGCGUUGUUCGGAAUUACUGGGCGUAAAGCGUGUGUAGGCGGCUCGUUAAGUCUGAUGUGAAAUCUCUGGGCUUAACCCAGAAACUGCAUCGGAAACUGGCGAGCUAGAGUUCGGGAGAGGGUCGUGGAAUUCCUGGUGUAGAGGUGAAAUUCGUAGAUAUCAGGAGGAACACCGGUGGCGAAGGCGGCGACCUGGACCGACACUGACGCUAAUACACGAAAGCGUGGGGAGCAAACGGG
rnacentral:rRNA from 1 species